rnacentral:lncRNA from 1 species
GGAGAAUGAAGAGUGGGUCCUGAGAACUGGAGGUUCCUUCAGUGCAGGGAAUGUUUCUGGGAGUCUGAGCUCCAGCCUGCGCCCUGCCAUUUGAGAGAUCUGUAAAUAAAAUUGCUGAUGGUGAAGGACUGUGUCUCUUAAAGAAAGGAAAAAGGAACUCAUAUAUUUGUUAAGUAUCUAAAGAGAACUGAAUAGGUUUAUUCUGGAGGUGAUAAUUGGGAAGGUCUGUCCCCAUGCCGCCAGGCACCAUGGCCAGCC